rnacentral:miRNA from 1 species
AUCCGCAAAAACUACUAGUAGACC